CUCUCUUCCACAGGAGGCCUACACGCCGCCGCUUGUGCUGCAGCCAUGUUUACUGUGUCUGAUUUCUUCCCCCGUACUUUUUCAACUAGUCUCUAGUGAUCCCUGAAAAGUUCCAGCAUAUUUUGCGAGUACUCAACACCAACAUCGAUGGGCGGCGGAAAAUAGCCUUUGCCAUCACUGCCAUUAAG
rnacentral:misc_RNA from 1 species